UCAAUAUUUUCUUGCACAAUUAAAGUUUGAUAUCUAGUUUAAAUGAUAUCCAAUAAAAAAAAUUUAAUCUCUAUUGGUCAAUGGUCAUAGGUAAUUAACAUCAAAUAUAUUAGAAACUAACUAGUUAUUUUCUUAUUUAAUAGAAGAUUGUUUUCUUAAAUUCAUAAAAUAAUGUAAUAUUGACUGGAUUAUCAUAAUAAUUAUUUUUACUCCUAUAUAUAGAUUGCAACCAUGGCUAUACAAUUCAUUCAACAUUCUCUUUAUAAUAUAAUAAUUAUCAAGUAGAAAUGGCAAAAGUUUUAGUUUACUACUAUCUCCUUCUUGUCAUCACAUAUUUCUCUGUUCUCAACCCUACUAUUGCUAAGGAAUGUGAUACACCAGUUUAUGACAUACAAUGCAAAGACACCAAGGAUUGUGUGCCAAUUUGUGAUGAGAGAUUUCCUGGUCCAGUAUUUCCCAAAUCUUGUAUGGGGGGUGGUUCAGUUUGUAUUUGUGCCUAUAAUUGUUAAAAAGGCUUAUUUUAAGUGGAUGAAUUAUUCAAAAUAUUAUAAAACUCAUCAUUUAUUUGAUUUAAUAAAUUAUAAGGUUAAUGUUUUAUGAUCAAA